rnacentral:rRNA from 1 species
GUGAGGAAUUUUCCGCAAUGGGCGAAAGCCUGAUCCAGCCAUGCCGCGUGUGUGAAGAAGGUCUUCGGAUUGUAAAGCACUUUAAGUUGGGAGGAAGGGCAGUAAGCUAAUACCUUGCUGUUUUGACGUUACCGACAGAAUAAGCACCGGCUAACUUCGUGCCAGCAGCCGCGGUAAUACGAAGGGUGCUAGCGUUAAUCGGAAUUACUGGGCGUAAAGCGCGCGUAGGUGGUUCAGCAAGUUGGAGGUGAAAUCCCCGGGCUCAACCUGGGAACUGCCUCCAAAACUACUGAGCUAGAGUACGGUAGAGGGUAGUGGAAUUUCCUGUGUAGCGGUGAAAUGCGUAGAUAUAGGAAGGAACACCAGUGGCGAAGGCGACUACCUGGACUGAUACUGACACUGAGGUGCGAAAGCGUGGGGAGCAAACAGGAUUAGAUACCCUUGUAGUCC